AGAGGAAGCCGGUGAAAGUCCGGCGCGGUCCCGCCACUGUCACCGGGGUAGCAAUCCCCGGGAGCCAGGAACUC
rnacentral:sRNA from 16 species